AAAAUCGCAGCUUCCACGCACCUGCCAGGCUCUGAAAACAACCCCAUGGGCCGAAGCAGCUGCAGAAUAAACUGGAGUGGGAAAGCUUAUAGCUUACAGCUGAAGUCCUCCUCUUGCAAGAUUCCCAGCUGCUGGAAGUGACUUUACGAGGGAACGAAGCAGCCACGGAUCGAAAACUUGUUUGGGAUGCUUGUCAGCUUUCAGAAUAAUACCAAAACGCUGGACAUCUACAGCAUCUUUCACUUCAGGAGCUCAGACAUCUGAGACGCCUGAUGGGCUUCCUGCAGAAAACAGCUGUCUGCCUCCUGUUCCUGUUUGUUUUUUCAAGUGCCUCCAACAGCAAACUUGCAACCUUCACUUGCAGUGAUGUCAAGACAGAAUAUAACAAAACGGCAGCAAUUUCAUGCAUUGGCAGCAAGAAGAUUACAAACGUGGUAGUUAAGCGCUGUGAAAACUGUAAUAAACAGAACUCGUGCUUAGAAACUUUUAUUAACACAUGGACAGGAAAGGAUUCCAGUGAAAAGGGAAGAAUUCAGUUGGUGCUACAACACAACGUUUCUGAAUUGCACAUACAGGAAGUAAAAGCAACUGAUCAAGGAGGUUAUAAAUGGUAUAUUUAUUCUGAUGCUGGGGAAGACGAUGGAUGUAUAACCCUUGAGAUUACAGCUCCAGAAAUUGAGCCUAUCCUAACUAGAAACGGAAGAAAGCUCUCCUGUCUGUCAUCUAUAGGGCAUCGACAAAGGCAGAUCCAUUGGUUCGAUGGUCACGGGAAUAACCUGACGGGCAGUGCAAGCCUGGUAUCUGAGGAAGCAGAAGGUGGUUUAACCAGCCUUACCAGCACUCUCCAUGAGAAACCCACCUUAACUGCCUCCGAGUAUUGCUGCACUGUGCUGUAUGAUGUGCACACCAAGAGAAGCAAAACCAAGUGCAUUCGUGCCCACAAAGCAGUCACUGAUUACCCUCAUUUUACUUCAACCCCAGGUAUAAGAUAUAGCAGAAAUACUUUGGCUAGGUCUACACUACCCCCCUGAAUCGGCGGGUAGAAAUCGACCUCUCGGGGAUCGAUUUAUCGCGUCCCAUUGGGACGCGACAAU
rnacentral:lncRNA from 1 species